rnacentral:rRNA from 1 species
CCUACGGGUGGCAGCAGUGGGGAAUAUUGGGCAAUGGGCGCAAGCCUGACCCAGCAACGCCGCGUGAAGGAAGAAGGCUUUCUGGUUGUAAACUUCUUUUCUCAGGGACGAAGCAAGUGACGGUACCUGCGGAAUAAGCCACGGCUAACUACGUGCCAGCAGCCGCGGUACUACGGAGGUGGCAAGCGUUAGCCGGAUUUACUGGGUGUACAGGGCGUGUAGGCGGGACUGCAAGUCAGAUGUGAAAACCACGGGCUCAACCUGUGGCCUGCAUUUGAAACUGUAGUUCUUGAGUACUGGAGAGGCAGACGGAAUUCCUAGUGUAGCGGUGAAAUGCGUAGAUAUUAGGAGGAACACCAGUGGCGAAGGCGGUCUGCUGGACAGCAACUGACGCUGAGGCGCGAAAGCGUGGGGAGCAAACAGGAUUAGAUACCCUAGUAGUC